GCUCUAACCACCUGCCUUGCGAGGAGCCUGCCUGUUACGCGAAUGCAGUAAGCCAAGAUGGCAGAGAAAAGCAGAGCACCAGUGUGGGACUAUUACAUGGAAUUGGCACCAGGCAAAGCAAAGUGUCUUAUUUGUGAUAAAGAUGUAAGCAUGGGGUCAGCAACGGCUAAAUCAAAAAAUACCACCCUGUGGAAUCACCUUAAGAACACCCAUCCAAAAGCCCAUAUGUAUUAUAUUAAGUUAAAAUAAAAGUGUUCAUUGUUCA